rnacentral:lncRNA from 1 species
ACUGGACCACCCUGGUCACAGCUGGGGCGGCGGCGUAGGUCUGGACAACUGGAGCGGACUGGACCACCCUGGUGACAGCUGGGGCGGCAGCGUAGGUAGCGACAGCUGGGGCAGCGUGGGCAACGGUCACAGCUGGGGCGGCGUGGACAGCGGUCACGGCUGGAGCGGCGUGGACAGCGGUCACAGCUGGAGCAGCGUGGUAGGUGGAGACGGUGCGGGUAACAGCUGGAGCAGCGACGGCGUAGCUGGCGGCGGGGGCGUAUCCGUAUCCGAAGCCAGCGCCGUAGCCGGUCAGGCCGGAGUAGCCAACUCCAUGGGACAGACCGUAAUGGGAGAGA